UGUUAAUCAGAAAAGUUGACAGGUAUCCCC
rnacentral:piRNA from 1 species